rnacentral:rRNA from 1 species
CCCUUAGAUGUUCUGGGCCGCACGCGUGCUACACUGAGUAAAUCAAUGGGUAAGGGAACACGAAAGUGCAACCUAAUCUUGAAAUUUGCUCGUGAUGGGGAUCGACGGUUGCAAUUUUCCGUCGUGAACGAGGAAUACCUUGUAGGCGCGUGUCAUCAUCACGCGCCGAAUACGUCCCUGCCCUUUGUACACACCGCCCGUCGCUCCUACCGAUUGAGUGAUCCGGUGAGGCUCUGGGACCUGGACGGAAAGAGCGUUUCGCUUGUUCUGUUUGGGAAACUUGGUCGAACCUUAUCAUUGAGAGGAAGGAGAAGUCGUAACA